rnacentral:rRNA from 1 species
AGCAGUCGCCGCGGUAAAACGUAGGGCGCGAGCGUUGUCCGGAAUUAUUGGGCGUAAAGAGCUUGUAGGCGGUUGGUCGCGUCUGCUGUGAAAGGCUGGGGCUUAACCCUGGUUUUGCAGUGGGUACGGGCUAACUAGAGUGCAGUAGGGGAGACUGGAAUUCCUGGUGUAGCGGUGGAAUGCGCAGAUAUCAGGAGGAACACCGAUGGCGAAGGCAGGUCUCUGGGCAGUAACUGACGCUGAGGAGCGAAAGCAUGGGGAGCGAACAGGAUUAGAUACCCCCGUAGUCCCUGUCUCUUAUAC